rnacentral:rRNA from 1 species
AUUGAACGCUGGCGGCAGGCCUAACACAUGCAAGUCGAACGAGUGGCGGACGGGUGAGUAAUGUCUGGGAAACUGCCUGAUGGAGGGGGAUAACUACUGGAAACGGUAGCUAAUACCGCAUACCAUCGGAUGUGCCCAGAUGGGAUUAGCUAGUGGGUGGGGUCAAGGUGCACCUAGGCGACGAUCCCUAGCUGGUCUGAGAGGAUGACCGGCGACACUGGAACUGGGUCACGGUCCAGAAGCCUACGGGAGUCAGCAGGGGGGAAUAUUGCACAAUGGGCGCAAGCCUGAUGCAGCCAUGCCGCGUGUAUGAAGAAGGAAUUCGGGUUGUAAAGUACUUUCAGCGGGGAGGCGUUACCCGUAGAAGAAGCACCGGCUAACUCCGUGCCAGCAGCCGCGGUAAUUC